rnacentral:rRNA from 1 species
AUGCACGCUGGCGGCGUGCCUAAUACAUGCAAGUCGAGCGAACAGACGAGGAGCUUGCUCCUCUGACGUUAGCGGCGGACGGGUGAGUAACACGUGGAUAACCUACCUAUAAGACUGGGAUAACUUCGGGAAACCGGAGCUAAUACCGGAUAAUAUAUUGAACCGCAUGGUUCAAUAGUGAAAGACGGUUUUGCUGUCACUUAUAGAUGGAUCCGCGCCGCAUUAGCUAGUUGGUAAGGUAACGGCUUACCAAGGCAACGAUGCGUAGCCGACCUGAGAGGGUGAUCGGCCACACUGGAACUGAGACACGGUCCAGACUCCUACGGGAGGCAGCAGUAGGGAAUCUUCCGCAAUGGCGAAAGCUUGACGGAGCAACGCCGCGUGAGUGAUGAAGGUCUUCGGAUCGUAAAACUCUGUUAUUAGGGAAGAACAAAUGUGCAAGUAACUAUGCACGUCUUGACGGUACCUAAUCAGAAAGCCACGGCUAACUACGUG